UGUGAGGGCAAUCUUGCUGCGACAUAUGCCACCUUAUUGAUCACUAGGGUUGAUUUGGCUGAUCUGGCUGGCUAGGCAGGUGCCCCCUUGCUCCCUCACCACUCCAUGUGCGUCCAUCUCGAAGCUGCACACUCAGUGGAAGAGAACGACCUUCCCCAAUAGAAGAAGGACUGUCCUUCGGUCAAGGAUAUAUGAGUAGCUGUGCUCCCCUGCUGGAACCUCCAAACAAGUCUCAAGAGGACUAGGUGACAAGGCUUUGAAAGGUUAGUCAUUGCUUCCAGUUUCUAAAUCAUCAUCAGAAGGACAGUCAGUGAUUGGU
rnacentral:snRNA from 1 species